AAUGCACCAUCGCAUACAGCAAAACCGGUCAAGGAAACGAUCGAAGCGUUCAGUUGGGAAAUACUUUCGCACGCGGCUUACUCACCAGACUUGGCUCCGUCCAAUUACUAUUUAUUUGCAUUGAUGGGACGCGCACUUUCUGACCAACACUUCACUUCUUACGAAAAUGUACGAAAAUGGCUGGAUGACUGGUUUGCCUCAAAAGAGCAACAGUUUUUUUGGCGUAGCAUCCACCAAUUGUCAGACAGCGGAUUAAAAUCCAAAGUAGGAGCUAUCGUGCACGUGCAGUGACCAGAAAUCAACGCACUGUGACUGUAAUAAUAAUUUGAUCAGUCACUAUACAGUGUUAAAUAUUAUUCUUUUAGUGGCUGUGAUUGUAACCUUAAAACGUCCCAAGUAAGUAAUGUAAGUAAACAGAAUGGUAAAGAAACAUAAUCAUUUCUUGCACUUUAUGUUUACGUAGUAGCUUGUAUGUGCAGAUAUCAUUGCACUUCGUCCCACUCUUUAAAGUGAGAUACAACAAAAAAAAGGAUUAACUAUAAGUGACAUCAUCGAUUAUUGUAAGUACCUAGUGUUUUGUUACCUCCAGAUUCUAUUGAAUAUAUGAAUCAAUAUACGAGUAUUGAUGAUUCUAUUGAUAAUAAGAAGUUUUUAAAGAAAUUAAUUCCCUUAGUUACUAUUACAAACAUUAUUUUAACAAGUGCAGAAAUUCCUCUGUAAAUACUGUUUAGCUUGGUCUGGAAUACGUAUUUGGCCCUUUCCAGCGCCAUCAUGAUAAAUCACAAUGUGCUGUAACAGUUUAUUCAGCCGUCGGUAAUCUUGCAAAGCGUUGCCAAGAUUUAGUGCAAAAUCAUUCGGUACACUGUAAUAUCUUGUUGAGUCGCUAUUGCACCGUAGUCACGACAUUGCUGAUAAGAGCUGUGAUUUGGCUGAUUAGCAGCAACUAAACAUUUUAUGGAUCUGAGAGCACCGCUCAAAUUUGCGAAGAAACUUGGUAACACUGUAUCGAUAGCUUCGAAUAAUAUUAUUGGAUAUUAUUCUAAAUAUCAUCCGGUCAAUUAACAUCUCGCCACCCUGAUAAGGAACUUCCAGGAACAAUAUCCCCUCCAUUAUUUUCAUUGUUCCUGCUUAGUAUUUAGACUCCGACACAGGUCCACUGUCCUUUUCUCUCUUUAUACAUCUAAUAACCUCAACACUUUGUACAAUUUUCUCAAAAUUAUCCAGAGAGAGUAAACCUUUAUUAAUCCUGCGAGCAUAAAUUUAAACAAUUUUUUUGUAGUUUAUUUUCGUUUGUGAAAUUUGUAUAAACAUCGUUCAUAUGUGCAAUUAUUUAUUAAUUAUUUAUGGAGGCAAACGAUUAGAGGAAGCAUUAAUCCUUUCUAUUCAAAAAUUCCAUAAGACAUAGAUAAUUCCAUUUUCGAUAUGCUCUUAUGGAUUUUAAUGAAUAGACAGGUAUAAUGCUUAAUUUAGGAUUUUUUUUACAAAACAUGCUGCUUAGACUGAUCUACUUUUUCGGUUAAUUUUUAAUUGUCACUAACUAAUAAACAAAGCCGAAAACGCAAUUGUUUUAUUCUUGAUUUUUAUCUUAUUACAUAUCUUUUUACAUUUGUAGCCAGACAAUUAUACAGAAAAGAGAUAGAGAUGCAGAUAGAUAAGAGAUUUUCCCUUUAUCUCGUUCAUUGUUCCCAAAUUAAUUUAUUGUUUAUAUUUUCUUUUUUCUACUCAUUUCUUGUUUGAAGCUACUUGAAGAAUUAAUGUGAAUCUUGUUACUACCAAUCAAAGUUCCUCAAAUUUCCCUAAAGGAUCAAUAAUGAUUAAAUCUAAUAUCAAAUUCCAAAAACUUAAUUU